UAGGAAUUGUAGAAAAUUGACAAGGGAAGCAAAAAGAUACAAGGAGAAAUCUAUGGCUAGAAGAAUUAAGAACAAUAAAAAGAUAUUGUAAGAAUAUU